ensembl:snoRNA
GCAUUCAAUGAUGAUUCAUUUCUGAAGUUUGCCUGAUUUCAUCUUUGAAAAGUGAAGGCAACUCUAGUCACUACCUCUUCUGAGAUGC